GACGAACGCUGGCGGCGUGCCUAAUACAUGCAAGUCGAGCGAAGUGUCUCUGGUUUUUGCGCCGGCACGACUUAGCGGCGAACGGGUGAGUAACGCGUAAAGAACCCUUCUCAUAGAGAGGGAUAACUAUAGGAAAGGAUAGCACAUACUGGGAAAUAGUGUUACCUGCAUGGGUGAGGUUAAAAACUUGGUUUUGGUAACACCUUGAGGUGGCUUUGCGGUGCAUUAGCUAGUUGGUGGGGUAAGGGUCUACCGAGUCGACGAGGCAUAAGCGAACGGAGAGAGUGAUCGGCCACACUGGAAGUGAGCCAGGGCCCAGGCUCCUACGGGAGGCAGCAGUAGGGAAUCUGCCGCAAUAGGCGAAAGCCUGACGGAGCAAGGCCGCGUGAGUGACGACGGAUUUCGGUUCGUAAAGCUCUGUUGUUAGGGAAGAACGAUUGUGUAGUAACAAGACGCGGUAGUGACGGUACCUAAUCAGAAAGCCACGGCUAACUACGUG
rnacentral:rRNA from 1 species